ACCUCUGUGGUGUAGUUGGUAGCGCCUUGACUUUGAAAUCAUAAGUCCUAGGUUCAAGUCCUAGUCAGGGUA